GUGCUCACUUCCACAGCACAUAUGAAAAACUGGAACAAUACAGAGAAUGUUAGUAAGGCCCUUGCACAAGGAUGACACAGAAAAUUCAUGAAGGACAAGGGGAAGUU
ensembl:snRNA U6 U6 spliceosomal RNA